GAUAAGUACUACUUAAAAGCCAUAAUUAAUGAGACAGGAACUGUGAGGUUCUUUAAGAUAGUUACCUGGCACUGCCUUCAGUCUGCUUCUCUGGGGAACGUUAUUUUGAUUAUUUGUCUUCUGUUUCAGUCACUGUGGGGCUGACAUCAUACUCUCACUGUCAGAGGAAUUGUGCAGCAGGAAACCUGUGCUGUGACAGCCUCCUUCUCUGGUAAGUACAACAUAAAAUUCUGGAGAAGCUCCUUUCUCUCUUGUGGUCUAUUCUGAACUGAGCAUAUCCCCUUCAGAACUGCAGUUUUUCAGAAGGUGAGUCUGGCAGACCUCUUCUGCCUAUUGCAUGACCACCUGCGGGUGCACAUGAUUUUUAAAUUCUCUCUUAGGGUUCUUCUAAGGGAUCCACCACUUCCAGGUAUGGCAGAAAGGCUCUUGGACCAGAAGGGAAAACUCAUGAUGAUUAGUUUUAUUUUACUGGGAGAGGGUGGGAUUUUCUCUGCCAGACUCUUGUCACAGAAUGGGCCACUCUGUCACCACAGAGCAAUCUCUGUCACCGCCAGAGCAGUCUCUUGCUGAGCUGCAAGAGAUGAGACCUAUUUCUUCAUCUGGUCUACGUUUCCUUGCUGCCUUAAAGGCCAUCUUCUGAACACAGAUGCACAUUUGGGGGUAUGAGAGAAGGUGUACGCUAGUUGGUAAGUGGCCUUUCCACAUCAUGGCAGCUCAGCCCACAAUUGAUUCUGAGGAAGAUGAAUUUAUUCUCAUCCUUAAUUAGGCUGUCACCAGAUUUCCUAUAGAGGUUUCAAGAUGUAUAUGAGAAUGUACCACAAACCUGACUGCUGGUCUCAGCCUACAGACAUCUCUGCAGAACUAUGUUACGAGGAAGAUGUGACCAUUGAAAUGUCUCAGUCUUGUCCAUGUGGGCACAGGGUGGGCCAUGGGGACAGCACCUUGUUGUGCCCUGGUUAAGGUGAGGAACGUGAUUACAGAUCCAAGCCACAGGCUCCCUGGUGUGAACAAAUGCAGCUUGAAAACAAUGUGCAUUCACUCUGGCAAGCCCUGCAGAGAUACCAGCAGUAGGCUGCUGAAGUAUCUGGAAUGGUGGUCAUCACAUUUCACAAGCUGAAAUAUUUAGACAGUGCAAUCUGCAAGGAUCAUAAAUAGGAAUAUUAAAUUCUUGAAAGAGCAAUACAGGAAAAUAUUUCUCUUAUGAAAAUCAUAAACAAAUGCAGUUCCUUCCAAAUCCCAACAUCUUCUGAAACUUCUCUGAACAGAAACAUCUGUCACUUGGAUAAGACCAAGUCUCUUUUAAUAUAACACAGCCUCUGAUUUUCUUCCUCCUCUAAUCUGCUUUUAGCUUUGCUUUUAGCUGUGCCAAGGAUCUGUGUUGAAAUUGCCAUUUCUCAGCCAUAUGCUGCAGUCACAGCGGUAUUUUGAGAUGUGGAUGAUCACCCCCAGGAAAAUACUGCUCUCUUCAAGAAGUUUUGGAGAGCAGAGUUUUUGGGGGAGGAACAGUGCAACUAGUGGCUUUCCUCUAAAGACAUCAGAGUUGAAAUCUGAAUGAAAAUGACUGGAGUUGAAUGCAUUGUCCCUGGAUUAUCACUACAGCCAGACACAGUAGACCCAAAGCUUACUCACAUUAGAUGGAUAAUCAGUAUUUCAGGAAAAAAAAAAAAUAAUCAUUUCCUCUGGAUAAUAAGGUUUUGCAGACUUGAGAGUGGAUGGAUGUCUGAGUUUCAUAGUCUCCCUCUUUUCCCCAUCAGGACAUGAUCUGGAGGAAAAUGAGUCCCGUGGGCCUCACCAGUUUCUAAAUCUUGCACAGUUUCCUAGUCCCUUAGUGUCUUUCCUGGAUAUUAAAAUUGAACACUUUAUAUUUACAAUUAUGUGAAGACAGAAAUGUGCUACAUUUUCUCUGCAGAAUAUAUUCACUGAGCAGCUGUGAGGGUAUUUUAAGUAUGUCAUCUGGAAAAAGACAUGGUCUUGUUCCUUUUCUGCCAAGAUUUUAGAAGUGGCUUCUGAUUUGGGAUAUUUGGCUCCAGAUAACUGCUAGGACCUAUUUUCUGAAGGGGUCAGAUAUUUACAACACCGGAAGACACCGGGGAAUUCUGCACACUUACAGUAGUAGGUGCUGAUGGCUGUCCUGCUCCUGCAGGACAAGCAAGCAAGGAUGAUGCUCAUGCAUACUGAUAAAGUGCUUUGACAAUGUUGCGUGCAUGGUUGGACAUAAGAGUAGAUGUAGGAAGAAAAUCCUUAUCAGGACUCCAGGCUGAGUGCAAAUGAAGAGCAGUGUUCACCUUCUGUAGAGUGGUGGCCUUUCUUCUUGUUUUAUUUGUGGAUCCCUAGCAAAUUUCCAGGCAAGCAGGCUCCUCCAUAUAGCAAAUGUUAAUUGCCUGUUAAUAGCUUUUAUUUUCUAAGCCUAUAAAGAUACCCGAGUACCAGGACCGAAACUUGCUCCAGAGCAACCUGUUGUGAAGAGUGUCACUGAAUAAGAUUAAGGGAAACCCUCUCUGAAACCCUUUGAAGGCUGUUCUUUAGCCUCUCAAAGAAAGCGUCACCUCCUACAAGCUCACUUCUUUCGCAUUGCUAAUCCUACUUUGCGGAGAGGUACUAAAGGCCAGGACUCCUCUCCUGCUUCCUACAGAGAAAUGCUGGCCCUUUGGUAAUGGUUAAGCAAAGAUCUCUGCAGCAGGGCUUGGGCAACAAUCCUAAUGCACAGGGUAAUCUGGCAAAGACCCCUGUGCUAAUUGGCAGAGGCAAUGGGAGUGACUGGGGAAAGAUUAGAGGAACUCCAAAAAGGUCAUUAAAUACUCCUGGUGCUGCCUGUGGUUAAUGCAGAGGCACUGGACUUACAUGCAUUGUACUAAGUUGUAAGAAAGUGGCUUCACAAGCUGAGUAAAAAGAAGUAGUUAACAUCCAUCCCGAACAGUUUUAACCACUGUUUCUGUGUGAUAGGGAGAGGAGACGGAUGGCAUUUGUAAGGCAAACUCACAGAACCCAUAGUCCUCAGGGGUGCUUUGUUAGCAGACAGAGUGAUGCACUUUUUCCCAUUAAACCUAAACAGUUAGGUAUUAUUAUUAUUAUUAUUAUUAGGCUCUAUUUAUAAGCAAAAUCUCUUGCAAAUCUAAUGGCUGAGAUAUAAUUGUCAAGAAGUUUUCUUCUAGUAUAUCGGCUGAAAGCCUUCAGAAACACCCAUCCCAGUCCAGUCAGCCCGCCUGCUCAUUUUUGGAGCAUUACAAAAAGAACUGCAGCUAGAACAACAGUGUCACCUUCUGGUAAGCGAAACUACUGCUGAUACCUUCUGUUGACCAGCUCCACUGGACACCGCUGAUUGCUUCUGUGCUUUCAGUGAGAAUAUGUCUCCUCACUUUUACAUUAAAGGUGACAGUGCAGUGAUGUGGAGUUAGUAGUAGAUUCAGAGAUGACAGAAUUUCUUUGAGUUUUGCUUAAUGACGAAUAAUAGAAUGGCUUUGGUGAUACAGCUCUGUAUUAUAUUAUUUUAAUGCAGUUUUAAAAUUGAGGUUGAUACUGAGCCGCAAUUUGUUAUGCCUUUUGUGUUGGUUAAUAACACAUAAAAGUCUAACAUGGAUAUCACCUACUAACCUUAAAAUGUUCACUUAAAAUUCUGAGAUUCUGACACUUCUGUAUAUGUCUAACAUGUAUGUAUGUAUUUCAUAAGAGUAAUCAAAUGAGCGAUCACAUGGAAGCAAAUGGCAAGAAAAGCAUCUCUGGCAAGGAAACAUCUGCAGAAGGAAAUGUCUCUCCUGCUAAGGACUCCUCAAUAACCCCAAAACAAUUGCAACAAAUCGAGAGACAAUUAAAAUGCUUAGCUUUUCAAAAUCCAGGACCUCAGGUAGCUGACUUCAAUCCUGAAACUAGAGAGCAGAAAAAAAAAGCACGUAUGUCACAGAUGAACCAAGAUUUUUUUUAUAAGCCCAAAAUUAUGAAGAAGUAUGACAAACAUGGCCGGCUGCUUUGUAAUAACAUCGAUUUGUGUGACUGCCUGGAGAAGAACUGCCUGGGUUGCUUCUAUCCUUGCCCCAAAUGCAAUUCAAAUAAAUGUGGACCUAUAUGUCGCUGCAAUAGGAAAUGGGUUUAUGAUACAAUUGAGACUGAAGCUGGGAAUGUGAUCAGUGCUUUCCCAUUUUCUAUCAUUGACUGAUUUUGUUCUGAUAGCUUUUGUGCCUGAGCAAAGUUCUCAUUUCUUCACGUUUUAUUAAAGUAUAUCUUGACUUUGUGAAUUGUCUCUAGUGAAAUAUCUGGCAGUGGUACUUGUGCUUCUUUAUUGCUGCCUACCUAGCAUACUUUAACCUUUUGCAUUAAAUAAAAAUUUGCAUUUCAUUCUUCCAUAGCCAUGUGAGUUUUACUGAGGCACCUAGUGAGUUCUUUCUGAAUCCUGACUUUCUUAAAAUGAAGGUGUGGGGACUGCUGUGGCAGACCAUUUUCUUACCCUGGGUAGCAGAACCACAUUUCUUGUAACCAAUUUUUUUUUGCCCAUCUCUCUGCUUGUGCAUUUAUUCAGACAUGUGACACAUUCUUUUGUGUACACUUAUCUAGGUGCCUUGCCCUUCUGAUGCAUUCAUGUCUUGUAUAGGUGAAGUGGGAGUUAUUUGAGCUAACACUGUCUUCUAAAACUAGGUAAUCACCUUCUGUGUCACCCAGUAUAUAAAGAGGAGGAGAGUGGAAACUACUUUGCAGCUGUUCCUUGCUGUGACCAGGCUACAAGACUGAAAUCAACAUGUUUGGUCAGCAUUUUUUUCCCCCUCACCAGCAUAUGGUGCACUCUCCUUGAUCAGUCAUUAAUUAUAGCUCACACUGGAAAUAAAUGGAUUAGGUAUUUUUGCCUCUGGGCAGAAAACAUCUCUUCAGUUCCAGGAGUCUUCUCCUUGCUAGAACAUUACAGAUUUCAAAUAUCACAACAGACACCCUGUCUUCUUAGGAGGUGUGCCACGAAGUCCUUCUGAACUUGACAGAAGACACAGCUAAAGAACAUAAAGAUGACAGGAAGAUGUCAGACUUUCUUUAGAAUAAUGUGGACAAAAUUGAAUGAGCUUUUCUUUCUUUCCAGUUAGAGGCAAAACAAAACAAAACAAAACGUU